GACGAACGCUGGCGGCGCGCCUCAUACAUGCAAGUCGAACGUGAAGCGGGGCUUCGGCCCCGUGGAAAGUGGCGAACGGGUGCGUAACACGUGAGCAACCUGCCCCGAAGACUGGGAUAACCCGAGGAAACUCGGGCUAAUACCGGAUGCCCUCACCGGAUCGCAUGGUCUGGUGAGGAAAUGGAUUCCGCUUCGGGAUGGGCUCGCGGUCUAUCAGCUUGUUGGUGGGGUAACGGCCUACCAAGGCGACGACGGAUAGCUGGUCUGAGAGGACGAUCAGCCACACUGGGACUGAGACACGGCCCAGACUCCUACGGGAGGCAGCAGUAGGGAAUCUUGCGCAAUGGGGGAAACCCUGACGCAGCGACGCCGCGUGCGGGAUGAAGGCCUUCGGGUUGUAAACCGCUUUCAGCAGGGACGAAAUUGACGGUACCUGCAGAAGAAGGCCCGGCCAACUACGUGCCAGCCGCCGCGGUAACAC
rnacentral:rRNA from 1 species